CAUAUCUGAAGGAUAGAACUCGGAAUAAAUAGUAUAUUACAUUAAAUCCACCACAAUUAUAGUUGUGGUGGAAGACUAAUCAAUAUGAAUAGGUGGAGUUAUAAGGCAUACAAGGAAUGAGCGUAAUUUAAGCUUAAAAGUGCAUAAAUACCCUUAACGGGUCAAAAUAAGAUUAUAAGCAAAAACGGGUCAAUGAUGCUUAAAAACCCAUGAAUUGAACCUUGUACAAUAGGAAAUAAUUAUAAUAUUAUGUUCACGAAAAACCGGAGGCGACAAACAAGUUUGUUGUAACACCCCAAAAAUUGAUUAAUAUGAAAAUAAGUAAAAGUGAAUAGAACCUAACUUAGUUAAUGGGUUAUGAUAAAUGAUAAGUUAAAUGAUGAAAAAGGCUUGAAUAAAACACUUAACAAACUUGGAGGGGGUAAUGUGAAAAGUUUCAAUUAAAUGGGGAUUAAUGAGGUGUAAUCCCAAAAAUACACUCCUGGCGCGUGUUUUGGGAUCGAUCAGAGCAGGGAAGACAAGGUUAACCCUUGUUCUUGCAAGAUUCAUCAAAUCAACAAGGGAAUUCAAGGUCGAUCAGUUGCAUGUCACCAAAUUUUCGAUUUACUUGUCAUACUCAAUAGAGUGGCAUGAAGGAAGAAGGUUCAAAUACUAGGAAAUCGGAAGGUUCACAAGAUCGAGCUAAAUCGUCAAUGUUGGCGACUUGGCAAAUUGGAGCGAGCAUAUGCAUACUUUAUGAUCAUCAAGCGCUUCCGCAAUUAUGUAUUAAUGUUUUGGGUCAAAUGCUUGUUUUUGUAUAACACUAUUAGUAGUUACACUUGUUAAUACUUGGUGUAUGGUUUUUAGUCGUGUCUAGUCGAACGAGUCGUAAACUUGUUUGUUUAAUGAUGGUUAAUACAGGGA